GUAGGAGUUGAAGUCCAAAACACCCAGAGGGCUGAAGUUUGCCCACACCUGGUACAGACUCAUAUGAGGACUGGGAAGCCCUGGCUCUUGAGCACUCCAGCUGGAGGUCAGCUGUGACCAGCAGUGCUGUAGAAUUUGAGGCAGGAAUGGAGGGUGAAAGCGAGAAACAUGCCAAUAGGAAGGCGCAUCAAGCCAGCCCUGAAAAGGAUCGCCUUCCUCCUGGAAACCAAUGCCCUCAUUGCGGGAGAAGAUGCAGAUCAAGAAUAGGACUCCACAGUCACCUACGGACCCACUGCCAGGACACCGAUCUUGGGAGAUACUCGUACUCGGACAAUGAGGAAUGGCCUAAGUAAGAAGCUGCCCUGCCUCUGGAAAAGCAAUCAGUGGUCAUGAAAAGACCCUUAUCUUUGGACAUUCUUUGCAUGGACAAUAGUAAAAGAAAUCCUUUUGUCUUCGGAGUUGGGCACCAUUAGGAUUUCUGUUUGGCAGACUUUUUAAUCAUAUAACAAUGGGGGGAAUAUGACCUUAGGAAAGUCCUCUUUUCCUCCAAGCCGUUUUUCUUUCAGACUUCUCCACAGAGAACUUCCACCCAAGUCUUCCCCUUUGUGUCAUAUCUGAUGGCGACAGGAAAACCUGGAUUUCUUUAACAUAUGUUUAUUGCCUUCACUCAAGAACACAAUAGAAUGGCUUGGCUGGCAGACCCCCCACCCGGAUCUCGCUAAGCCUCAGGGACAAUUUUGUCAUAAUCUACUCCAGAAUGCAUUGUCCCCCUUCAUCCCGCCUCCCUCCCUUCUGAUUCGCUGGAGUGUCAAGGCAGCAGGAGCCUCCUGAUAGGCUCUGGUGCACCGCGAAAGCCCUGUGAUUGGCCCUGAUGCAUGGGGGACGGCCAAGCCUCCUCCCAGCUGUUUGCACAUCAGCCAAUCCCCUUCGAGCUGGGCGGGAGGGGGGAGCGGGAAUUUUGAAACUCACAACUCUGUAUUUUCUAUAAAAAUGGCCUUUACUUCUGUAACCACAUGCUCUGCUUGGUGAAUGAUUGCCGCUCUGCAUCCUUUUCAGCUGAAUUGCUAAUAAACAUCGGCGGCACUUCCUUCCA